AGCAGCGUAGCUCAGUGGAAAGAGCCUGGCCUUGGGAGUCAGAGGUCAUGAGUUUGAAUCCCAGCUCUGCCA
rfam:Ornithorhynchus anatinus chromosome 3, whole genome shotgun sequence.